rnacentral:lncRNA from 1 species
UGCUUGGUAUUGGGUUUCAAUAUCUAGUUUUGUACCCAGCUCUCUUGAGGGUUGUGGAGUGUAGCUAGUAUUGAACAUGGAGAUCAAUUAUGCUCUGGCAUUGCUCUUAGUCCUCAUUCUCAACUUGGGUAGUUUGCUCACUUCUCUUGCUAACUCCUAUUGCCCACCACCAACAUACCCUCCAGUUCCUCACUUGCCACCCAAACACCCUCCCCAUGUAACUCCACCCUUCCACCCUAAACCACCAAAGAAGCCACCACCAUAUGUCAAACCACCUCAUGCAAAGCCUCCUCCUCAUGUACCAAUCAAACCCCCUCAUGUUAAACCACCCAUUGUAAAACCACCUCCUUAUCCGAAACCUCCAGUUGCCAAACCACCUCCCCAUCCCAAACCUCCUGUUGUCAAACCACCUCCCCAUCCCAAACCUCCUGUUGUCAAACCACCUCCCCAUCCCAAACCUCCUGUUGUCAAACCACCUCCCUAUCCCAAACCUCCUGUUGUCAAACCACCUCACCUAUCCCAAACCUCCUGUUGUCAAACCACCCUCCCUAUCCCAAACCUCCUGUUGUCAAACCACCUCCCUAUCCCAAACCUCCUGUUGUCAAACCACCUCACCAUCCCAAGCCUCCUGUUGUCAAACCACCUCCCCAUCCCAAACCUCCUGUUGUCAAGCCUCCAGUUGUCAAACCACCUCCCCAUCCCAAACCACCAGUUGUACUGCCUCCACCAUAUACCCCGAAGCCCCGGUUGUACUGCCUUCCACCAUAUACCCCGAAGCCCCCGGUUGUGCUGCCUCCACCAUAUACCCCGAAGCCCCCGGUUGUGGCCUCCACCAUAUCCCCCGAACCCCCCCGGUGUAUGUGCUGCCUCCACCAUAUACCCCGAAGCCCCCGGUUGUACUGCCUCCACCAUAUACCCCGAAGCCCCCGGUUGUACUGCCUCCACCAUAUACCCCGAAGCCCCCGGUUGUACUGCCUCCACCAUAUACCCCGAAGCCCCCGGUUGUACUGCCUCCACCAUAUACCCCGAAGCCCCCAGUUGUACUGCCUCCACCAUAUACCCCCAAGCCCCCAGUUGUACUGCCUCCACCAUAUACCCCCAAGCCCCCAGUUGUACUGCCUCCACCUUCACCACCUGUUGUAGUGCCAAGCCCACCAUCAACACCAACCCCAACCCCAGUUGUCCCAGUGAAGCCUCCUCCACCCACUGAAACACCAUGCCCUCCUCCACCACCAAAGGUAGUACCACCCCCAACAUCACCACCUCCAAAGUCGCCACCGAAGGACACGUGCCCCAUCGACAC